AUUGAACGCUGGCGGCAGGCCUAACACAUGCAAGUCGAGCGAGCGGCGGACGGGUGAGUAAUGUCUGGGAAACUGCCUGCUGGAGGGGGAUAACUACUGGAAACGGUAGCUAAUACCGCAUACCAUCAGAUUUUCCCAUCUGGGUUAAGCUAGUUGGUGGGGUAACGGCUCACCUAGGCGACGAUCCCUAGCUGGUCUGCGAGGAUGACCAGCAACACUGGAACGGAGACACGGUCCAAACUCCUACGGGAGGCAGCAGUGGGGAAUAUUGCAAAAUGGGCGAAAGCCUGAUGCAGCCAUGCCGCGUGGGUGAAGAAGGCCUUCGGGUUGUAAAGCACUUUCAGCGGGGAGGCGUUACCCGAAGAAGAAGCACCGGCUAACUCCGUGCCAGCAGCCGCGGUAAUAC
rnacentral:rRNA from 1 species